rnacentral:rRNA from 1 species
GACGAACGCUGGCGGCGUGCCUAAUACAUGCAAGUAGGACGCUGAAGGAGGAGCUUGCUUCUCUGGAUGAGUUGCGAACGGGUGAGUAACGCGUAGGUAACCUGCCUGGUAGCGGGGGAUAACUAUUGGAAACGAUAGCUAAUACCGCAUAAUAUUGACUAUUGCAUGAUAGUCAGUUGAAAGGUGCAACUGCACCACUACCAGAUGGACCUGCGUUGUAUUAGCUAGUUGGUGGGGUAACGGCUCACCAAGGCGACGAUACAUAGCCGACCUGAGAGGGUGAUCGGCCACACUGGGACUGAGACACGGCCCAGACUCCUACGGGAGGCAGCAGUAGGGAAUCUUCGGCAAUGGACGGAAGUCUGACCGAGCAACGCCGCGUGAGUGAAGAAGGUUUUCGGAUCGUAAAGCUCUGUUGUAAGAGAAGAACGAGUGUGAGAGUGGAAAGCUCACACUGUGACGGUAUCUGACCAGAAAGGGACGGCUAACUACGUG